GACGAACGCUGGCGGCGUGCUUAACACAUGCAAGUCGAACGGAAAGGCCCUGCUUUUGUGGGGUGCUCGAGUGGCGAACGGGUGAGUAACACGUGAGUAACCUGCCCUUGACUUUGGGAUAACUUCAGGAAACUGGGGCUAAUACCGGAUAGGAGCUCCUGCUGCAUGGUGGGGGUUGGAAAGUUUCGGCGGUUGGGGAUGGACUCGCGGCUUAUCAGCUUGUUGGUGGGGUAGUGGCUUACCAAGGCUUUGACGGGUAGCCGGCCUGAGAGGGUGACCGGCCACAUUGGGACUGAGAUACGGCCCAGACUCGUACGGGAGGCAGCAGUGGGGAAUAUUGCACAAUGGGCGGAAGCCUGAUGCAGCAACGCCGCGUGCGGGAUGACGGCCUUCGGGGUGUAAACCGCUUUCGCAUGUGACGAAGCGUGAGUGACGGUAAUGGGUAAAGAAGCACCGGCUAACUACGUG
rnacentral:rRNA from 1 species